UCCGUAGGGUGCGAGCGUUAAUCGGAAUUACUGGGCGUAAAGCGUGCGCAGGCGGUUCUGAAAGUCAGCUGUGAAAGCCCCGGGCUUAACCUGGGAAUUGCGGUUGAAACUACAGGGCUAGAAUCUGGCAGAGGGGGGUGGAAUUCCACGUGUAGCAGUGAAAUGCGUAGAGAUGUGGAGGAACACCGAUGGCGAAGGCAGCCCCCUGGGCUGAGAUUGACGCUCAGGCACGAAAGCGUGGGGAGCAAACAGG
rnacentral:rRNA from 1 species